UACGUAGGCAGCGAGCGUUGUUCGGAAUUACUGGGCGUAAAGAGUGUGUAGGCGGUGCUCUAAGUUCGGUGUGAAAUCUCCUGGCUUAACUGGGAGGGUGCGCCGGAAACUGGGGUGCUCGAGCGUGGGAGAGGAAAGCGGAAUUCCUGGUGUAGCGGUGAAAUGCGUAGAUAUCAGGAGGAACACCUGUGGUGUAGACAGCUUUCUGGACCAUUGCUGACGCUGAGACACGAAAGCGUGGGUAGCAAACAGG
rnacentral:rRNA from 2 species